GACGAACGCUGGCGGCGCGCCUAACACAUGCAAGUCGAACGAGCGAGAGAGAGCUUGCUUUCUCAAGCGAGUGGCGAACGGGUGAGUAACGCGUGAGGAACCUGCCUCAAAGAGGGGGACAACAGUUGGAAACGACUGCUAAUACCGCAUAAGACCACAGUAUCGCAUGAUACAAGGGUCAAAGGAGUCAAAUCUGGUGAUAGAUGAGCUUGCGUAUCAUUAGCUAGUUGGUAAGGGUAACGGCCUACCAAGGCGACGAUGAUUAGCCGAUCUGAGAGGAUGACCGGCCACACUGGAACUGAGAUACGGUCCAG
rnacentral:rRNA from 1 species